rnacentral:rRNA from 1 species
UACGGAGGAUCCAAGCGUUAUCCGGAUUUAUUGGAUUUAAAAAGAACGUAGGCGGCCCGUUAAGUCAGGAGUGAAAGACAAUGGCUCAACCAUCGCAGUGCCUUUGAUACUGACGGGCUUGAAUGUAGUUGAGGUGGGCGGAAUGUGACAAAUAACGGUGAAAUGCAUAGAUAUGUCACAGAACACCGAUUACGAAGGCAGCUCACUAAGCUAUGAUUGACGCUGAGGCUCGAAAGCGUGGGGAUCAAACAGG